GCCCGGUUAGCUCAGUCGGUAGAGCAUUCGACUUUUACAAAAAAAGUCAUACCAACUCCGGUUCAGGUAUAUGGUAAUCGAAUUGUCGGGGGUUCGAGCCCCCCAUUGGGCG